UACGGGGGGGGCAAGCGUUGUUCGGAAUUACUGGGCGUAAAGGGCGCGUAGGCGGCCUUCUAAGUCAGACGUGAAAUCCCUCGGCUCAACCGAGGAACUGCGUCUGAUACUGGAAGGCUUGAAUCCGGGAGAGGGAUGUGGAAUUCCAGGUGUAGCGGUGAAAUGCGUAGAUAUCUGGAGGAACACCGGUGGCGAAGGCGGCAUCCUGGACCGGUAUUGACGCUGAGGCGCGAAAGCUAGGGGAGCGAACAGG
rnacentral:rRNA from 1 species